rnacentral:rRNA from 1 species
CGUAGGUGGCAAGCGUUGUCCGGAAUUAUUGGGCGUAAAGCGCGCGCAGGUGGUCCUUUAAGUCUGAUGUGAAAGCCCACGGCUCAACCGUGGAGGGUCAUUGGAAACUGGGGGACUUGAGUGCAGAAGAGGAAAGUGGAAUUCCAAGUGUAGCGGUGAAAUGCGUAGAGAUUUGGAGGAACACCAGUGGCGAAGGCGACUUUCUGGUCUGUAACUGACACUAAGGCGCGAAAGCGUGGGGAGCAAACAGGAUUAGAUACCCUGGUAGUCCACGCCGUAAACGAUGAGUGCUAAGUGUUAGGGGGUUUCCGCCCCUUAGUGCUGCAGCUAACGCAUUAAGCACUCCGCCUGGGGAGUACGGUCGCAAGACUG